UACAACCAUAUCACACUGAAACACCAGUUCUCCCUUGAUCACCAGUUAAGCAAUGUCAAGCCUGGUGAGUACGUAGAUGGAUGACCACCUGGGAAUACCAGAUGCUGUAAG